GACGAACGCUGGCGGCGUGCUUAACACAUGCAAGUCGAACGGAAAGGCCCUGCUUUUGUGGGGUGCUCGAGUGGCGAACGGGUGAGUAACACGUGAGUAACCUGCCCUUGACUUUGGGAUAACUUCAGGAAACUGGGGCUAAUACCGGAUAGGAGCUCCUGCUGCAUGGUGGGGGUUGGAAAGUUUCGGCGGUUGGGGAUGGACUCGCGGCUUAUCAGCUUGUUGGUGGGGUAGUGGCUUACCAAGGCUUUGACGGGUAGCCGGCCUGAGAGGGUGACCGGCCACAAUGGGCCUGAGAGACGGCGCAGACUCCUACGGGAGGCAGCAGGGGGGAAUCUUCCAGAACGGGCGGACGUCAGAGGCAGAAAUCCCGCGUGCGGGAUACUGGGUUACGGGUUGUAAACAAAUGUGGACGGUACUGAACCGUGAGUGACGGUAACGGGUAAAGAAGCCACGGCUAACUACGUG
rnacentral:rRNA from 1 species